AGAUGCCUCAUCUGAUUUGUUAUUGAGGCUGUGUGAUGAUUUCCUCUCGUCUUUCUAAUAAGGGGGCUGAAUGAGGGGAUACACUUCUCUCAGUCUCUCUGGGCGAGUGGAGGUGAACACAUCGUGUACAGCGAGGAGGGAGAUGGAAAUCUGUCUGACUUUAAUUCUUCUCUCAUCCACACUCACACUCACAGCAGCUGACAAUGUGAGGUUGGUGAAUGGUGGAAGUCGCUGUGCUGGGACAGUGGAGGUUCUUCAUGAUGGACAGUGGGGAACAGUGUGUGGUUAUAACUGGGAUAUGAACGAUGCUGCAGUGGUGUGUAGAGAGCUGCGCUGUGGGGAGCCUGUAGAUAUUCGUUAUUGG